GAUAACCAAACUCAAUCAACCAGUCCCCUUAGUAGCUUCUAUGCACAAGGAGUUAUUCAUGCACCAAGGAACUUCCUUUUCCCUGCUGUUCUCCCUUUACAUCCUCAAGUUUUUGAAAUCUUUGCCCAAGAACCAAACACAAGCCCCCUCAUCAAUUUGGUAUCUUAUCUCUGGUAUCUCCAUCAACGUCCUUGGCGACUUCCCCUAACCCUGUUCAAGAAAUCUCAACACGAAUUGGCACUGGAACUACUACUAAUUGUAAAGAAAAGCUAACGCAUGCCAGGUACUCCGUUUGAGAGGUCUAGGAAACAACGGUUCUUCAGGGGAUGAUGAGAAGGCUGAGCCUUGGAUGACAUCUUCGAGUCCAAUGAAGAAUCUCCCAGCUCAGGCUUGUCCUGUUUCUCUUAGAGAUGCUAGGUCUUUAGUCACUUCGGGCAGUGAUUCUAAUAGUGUAAUAAUGGUCUUUCAUCAUCUUCAUCAAGUUCUCCAUGCACUUCUCCUUCAUGGUGAUUAGGGUUUCUGUCAAAGCUCAAAACUAGCCAGGGAACCUUUAUUUUAAGCUUUUUGUACCGUUUUCUCAAAUGUUUUCAAAAUUCUAACAACCAUUGGUAACUAAAAUUCCUACUUUCUCAUUGGUUUUUUUUUUUAGCACAAAGGUUCUCUUGGAUUCAUUUGUUUGUUGACUGUGUUGUGGUGUUCUUGAAAAAGCUGUUUACAGCAGAAAACAAAGCUUAAUGGUUUUGUUUCUUUUUCUUCUCUGGCAUUCCAAUAAUGCAUCUGACAUUGCAAAAAGAAGUUAGAAAUUUAGUAGUUGUUUUUUUUUCUUUUUAUUCAAACAGAUAUAUUAUUUCCAUUCCUGUUUAGGGAUAUUAGUUAUUACCAAA